rnacentral:rRNA from 1 species
GACGAACGCUGGCGGUGUGCUUAAUACAUGCAAGUCGAACGUGAAGCUACCUUCGGGUAGUGGAAAGUGGCGGACGGGUGAGUAACACGUAGGUAAUCUGCCUUAAGGUGGGGGACAACGUUGGGAAACUGACGCUAAUACCCCAUAUGUGGCGAGCUGCAAUGCUCGUUAUGAAAGUUCCGGCGCCUUAAGAUGAGCCUGCGGCUGAUUAGUUUGUUGGUGGGGUAAUGGCCUACCAAGACUAUGAUCAGUAGCUGGUCUGAGAGGAUGAUCAGCCACAGUGGGACUGAGACACGGCCCAUACCCCUACGGGAGGCAGCAGUAGGGAAUGUUGCGCAAUGGGCGAAAGCCUGACGCAGCAACACCGCGUGAGUGAUGAAGCAUCUUGGUGUGUAAAACUCUGUCAGAAGGGACGAAUCAAUGACGGUACCUUCAAAGGAAGCAUCGGCUAACUACGUGCCAGCCGCCGCCGUAACAC